rnacentral:tRNA from 1 species
GGUGGCUCAAUGGUGGAGUGCUUGCCUUGCAUGCAUGAAGCCCUGGGUUCAAUUCCUCAGCACCA